GUCGGAUGACUUUGCCACGCAGACUGUAAAUCUGCCGGCUCAGCCUUCCCAGGUUCGAAUCCUGGCGCCGCCA
rnacentral:tRNA from 1 species